AACGAACGCUGGCGGCAGGCUUAACACAUGCAAGUCGAGCGCCUCGCAAGAGGAGCGGCCGACGGGUGAGUAGCGCGUGGGAACGUACCCUUAUCUUCGGAAUAGCUCUGGGAAACUGGAAGUAAUACCGAAUGUGCCCUUAGGGGGAAAGAUUUAUCGGAUAAGGAUCGGCCCGCGUUGGAUUAGCUAGUUGGUGGGGUAAAGGCCUACCAAGGCGACGAUCCAUAGCUGGUCUGGGAGGAUGAGCAGCCACAUUGGGACUGAGACACGGCCCAAACUCCUACGGGAGGCAGCAGUAGGGAAUAUUAGACAAUGGGCGCAAGCCUGAUCCAGCCAUGCCGCGUGAGUGAUGAAGGCCUUAGGGUUGUAAAGCUCUUUCACCGGAGAAGAUAAUGACGGUAUCCGGAGAAGAAGCCCCGGCUAACUUCGUG
rnacentral:rRNA from 1 species